AUUACUGAUUUAUUCUCAUCAGAAGUGCAUCGUCGUUCAACCAACAGUAAAGCAUCUAUUACUGAUUUAUUCAUUCUCAUCUGAAGUCAGCAAUUCUGUUCGGGUACUGGCGUUUCUGUUCGGGUAUGGCGCCAAGCAGGCCGUUGGCGUUAGAUCACUUCUAAGUCGGCUCUGAAAGGAGGAUCGGUGGAUAUAGGGUUACUUACUCUCAUUUUCAAUCUUCAGCAGCAUACUUCCUUCUCUAGAGAAGCAAGAACUCACUUCUCGCGUUUUAAAUGUCAGGAUAUCAAUCCCCUUCAUCGAUUCUUCUAAGGUUUUCAUCAUAUAUGUGAUAGUCCAAGCUUGUAUUGGUCAGGACUCAAGAGACCUUUUACUGAUCAGGUUAAGACCCCCUCCUUUGCCUUAAAUUGUUUAACUUCUAUUGGGUCAAUGCCUCGCACAUGAAGGAAUUUUUACUUUUGUCAUAUUUAUCAACUGUUAGUGUGUUGUUAUGAGAAGGCGCUUUACACUAAUUUUGGGAGGAAUGGUGUUCAGUACCUCAAUGAAAUAGCUGUUAUACUUCCUAUUUAGAUUGAAAAUUUGAUCUAUGCUUACCUAGCUGAAGAGCCUUUCAAAUUUUGUUUCAGGUAUUCAAGUUUGCUUGCUUUACUUAGGUGUUCUCUCAUUUACAAAACUUUUCAAGACGAUAGUCUCUAGAACUUCAUAACUUGCAGGUCAGUGCAGCGGCAAAUUUUGGGAUGACUUGCAACUAGAUACAUUGUACUAUGUGGAAUUAUAACAGCAGUGGAGGAAGAACUUGGGGUUCAAAUCCCAGAUGACAAACCAACCCCAGAACUUGUUGACUACAUUGCAAAUGCAAAAUGAGAUUCAUGCUGUUGUCAGGUGAAAUCCUUUUCACAAAUUUGUUGUCUUCUCUUGCUAAUUGUUGAUGCAACUUUCAUUUGGUAGUUUGUAAAAAUAUUCACAUGGCUAAGUGUAGACAUAUUUGCCACAUUCUGUGCUUUCCAAAAUUUGCACCGUUUCUGUGCUUGUAGCUUUAAUUAAAACUUAUAAAAUGAAUGAAUAAAUUGUGGUCCUUGGCUGCAUAAACG
rnacentral:misc_RNA from 1 species